UUCCGUAUUUACCGAUGUACCCACAGCACCAGUGCCUACAUCCCUGCCACAGUAUCUAGACCUAAAUGCUCAUCAGUGCCAUGCCCAGCUUGAAGGCCAACACGGGGCUUGAACUCAUGACCCUGAGAUCAAGACGGAGCUGAGGUCAAGAGUCGUAUGCUUAACCGACUAAGCUACCCAGCGCCCCCAAAUUUCUAUUUCUUAAAAGUCAAAAUUCCCAAUCAUCACCAAGAGGGGAGCUGGACCCCUUCCCGCAGCCGCCCUGUCCUUCCUGAGGCUCUUCUUGGGGCUUCUCAAUGCCUCAUCCUUGCUCCCCGCCUGCUGCUCCGACCACUCAUUCCUGGCUCUCCUGACACCAGACUCCUGCUCCUUCUUCCUGGAUGACAUGUUGGGCCGCAGCCCCAGAUCCUGAAACUCAGGCCCACACACCGUUUUAGUGAUCAUGCCUCCUCUACGCUGAGAUGUCGUAUCUUGCUUUCUCCCCCAAAUCUACAGGACCACCAAAAGUUUGGGGCACAUUUGGACUUUGCUGCCCCACCCUCGCCUCAGUCUGAAUUCUUUCCCCAGAAGACAGACCCUCCCCGAUAAAAGCCACUCUGACCUCCAUAGUCCUGUCACCAUGUCACCCACAGGCCAUCCAUACCCUGGGUGCCCCGGCUCGAAGCCCAGCCCCUCCCUCUCCUUGGUGCUCAAGUCCCCUCCAUCAGCUUUCAAGUCCUGCCAUUUCUCGUGUCUGUCCUUAUGGCCACUCCUUCCUGCCCGCUCCUGUGCCACCCCGAGUCUGCAGCUCCUUAUGACUCGGGCUAUAGACACAGCCACCAUGUGCCACAGCCCAAGCUGGCCUCCCCAACUCCAGUCCCUCUCACAUUCACUUUGUGCAUUUCGGCCAGAUGAGUCCUCAUGAUGUCCUUGCCCACAAACCUGUUGGUUGAAUGUAUGGAUGAUAAAUGUGUACAGUAUUGAGCCCUGAUGGUGGAGGGCCUUGAAU